CGCGCGGGUUGAAACUUCACCCAAAUGCAGAAGAUGCUUCAGAUUUUAUUUCUUCUUCAUUGAUAGAGCAGCACAAGAUGCUUCGGGAUGGAAUACUGUGGUGCUUGGGCGGAGGUGCUCUUUUCCUUCUUGGCUUUCACAUUGACAGGCAUGUUGAUCGUCUCCUUUGAAAAGAUUCUAGCUUCUUCUUUCAAAAGAUUCUAGCUUUAUGUUUAACAGAGCUCACGAACAAAUAAGUACGCAUUUUGAAGUUCCGAGCCGAAGCACCAUUUUUAUUUUGUCUGGUACAAUUCUUUUAAGUUCUUACAGGAAUUAAAUUUCUUGGUGGGCAACUUUUCUUUUUGCGUUUUGGGUUAUUACAGUGAAGCACGUAAACUUGAAUCGGUCCGUCGGAUUAGGGAGUUGAAGGAUUUGGGUACGCUGCUGCGCUGUUUCUUUUUUCCAUAUGACUCUUAAUUGUUCUUCAAGUUCUUGACAUUUCUAAAUAGGAAUUUUAUGUUGCUUCAUUUUCAGUCGGGUUGCUGAGAUACGAAUGCCGAGUUGUAGUUGCCGUUAGAGGAAGGGUGUGCUCAGCAACUCCCAUUAACUGUGAAAAGGGUGGUUUACAAGGGGUAAUUGUGGAGCAGAGGGUACAAAUCUUAACUCUAAAUAACCUUUACAAAUUUGGAAACUUUCUUUAAUGGGUUCUGUUUUCGGUCAUCAUUGAUAAUUUACACUCUUGUUGAUGUCUGUUUUUAGGCAGAGCAGUAUUUCCUGGAACGCAUCAAGAACAUGGAUAAGUAGGAGGAUAAGGACAGGGAUGAUUUACACGUUUGUGCCUUUCUUGAAAAGUUUUUUUCGGUUUUUCUAGUUUUGGCGCCUUUUCUGAAAGACUCUUGGAGAAU
rnacentral:lncRNA from 1 species